rnacentral:lncRNA from 1 species
UUGUGUUGGGAAAAGGAGGAAAAGAGAGAGAAGGAAAGAAAAGAGAAAAAGAAAAAAGAGAAAUAAGGAAAAAAAAAAGGGGGAAAGAGAAGAAAAAGAGAAAGAAAACGAAAGGAGAAAAAAAGGGGGGGGUCAGGUGGGGGAAGCAAUCAGAAAUCAAAAAGAAAGAAAGAAAUAAAACAAAACAAAACAAAAACAAAAACAAAAAAACACGGGGGAGUAUCUUCCGAUUCUGUAUACUUUGAGUCCCUUGACUUCCCCUGGAACUGGUCCGUCUACCUGGUCUUCUGGGGGAGGGGCCUGCUGUGCUGAUUUUCAGGUGUUAGCACUUGCGGGGGCUGCUCUGCCCCUGCCUGGUGCAGGGCUCAGUGGGGUUGUUCACCCCGUGAGGCCCCGGGAGGAAGCCACAGUGGCGGGGGCGGCAGCUCUGGAGCCCUGGAGUCAGCCCCCGCAUUAGCUCUGGGGCUCUCCGUCUGCAGGGCCUGGAGGUUCCAGGGCGGGGCCGCUGAUCUGCUCAGCUCGGGGCAGGAGCGUCCUCGCUGUCCUGGGCCCUCCCGGCCUCUGCCUGUCCCGGGGGAGGCCGGAUCCUGGGCUGUGUCCCGGCGCCCUGUGCUCCGGGGCCUGCGCUGUUGGAUNGGCGCCCUGUGCUCCGGGGCCUGCGCUGCUGGAUUCGCUCCCGCCCCGCAGCCCCCUCCGCGGAGCCGCCGCCCGAGCCCCUCCGAGCUGCUCCGGGUCCCGCCGUGCGCGCUGCAGCCCUUAGGGAGCUCGGCGCAUCUCCCGGGGCGCAGGUGCCUGUUACUGUCCCAGCGAGCCCGAGGGCAUCCCCGCACUCCUGGGUCCUGCUCUAACUCCCUGCGGGCGCGCCUUUCCACCCGGGAAGGUUGGUGCAGCUCCUGCUCCUCCGGGACGGGGCUCUCCUGCCCUGGGGACACUCGCCCCGGCCUCAGCCCGGCUCCUCGCGGGGCCCCUCCCCCUUGGAGGCCUUUUGUGUCUUUAUAUCUUUUUCCCCGUCUUCCUAUCUUGAUAGAAGCAUGAACUCUUCUCACUGUAACAUUCCAGCUGGUCUC